CCUCUGUUCAAGGCCGCCCUUGGGCAUACCCUGCUGGAAACAGUUGCCCCUCCUGGGACAGCUGCCAUUGCCCCUAGAAGAACUGGAGCCCAGGCUGCACCCCGGGGGGGGGAUGAAGAAAGUUGAAGAGAGCCCUACAGCUGGGUCCCCAUGAGAAGCCGUUUGUGGCGGUGAGGUAGAACCAUAACACAUCCCCAGCUGCACAAACAUCUGGGACCAGGAGCGCUGGCUCUGGGGGUAGCUCCUGGCUACUCCAGUUCCAGCCUCUCCCAGCAGAGCCUGCAGAAGGCAGGGAGGUCCCAGCUACUCUAGGUCUGGCUUCUCCUGGCAGGGGGUAGUGUAGGAAGUAGGCCAGGAAUACUGGCUGUGAGAGGAGCUCUAAUGUACUCUAGAGCCAGACUCUCCCAGCAGGGGUGCUGUAGGGAACAUAGCAGGAGCAUAAACUUGGGUUGGAAAACUUGGAAUUCUCAGUAGCUAUUGCAAGGUUUCAUUUUACUUUGCCCAUUUUAAUAGUGUAUAUUAUUGAUACAGAUCUCACCCUUUACUGAGAUUAUCCUAUAAAUAAUAAUACAUGGUUCCUUCAGUACAGUCUGAAUAGAUACCAGAGCAAGGGGUACAGGCCAGGGCACAAAGCAACAGGAGGCUUAAGUAGUUUAGUUUUUAUUAAUAUCAAAAACUUUAACUGUAUUAACUACUAUUCAGCAUUACUACUAUUCUGUUGUAUUGCAAUAGCACCAACUCUGCUCCAUUCUGGUUCUUAUACAGCCCUAUUCUCUGUGGUAUCUGGCUUCUUUGUGAAUGAUGUAUUAAGUGUCAUGACUAACAUUUGCCACAGCUGGUUCUUUCUUCAAGGAGGAGCAAGGGGAUUUUUUUUUACUGUUAGCAGAAGGCUGUUUUUUUAGAGACGAUAUAUUCUAUGUGCUGACGUUCGCAAAGGCAGUUUGGAGAUGUGGCCAGAUGGUUGGAGUGGAAGAUGGGGAAAUUUGGGUUGAUUCUUAGUUCCUGGGGGAGUUUAUUACAACCUGGGAUCAACCCCCAGGGAAGCACUGUCUCCGGUACAGACAAACUGAUGCCACAGUUCUGUUGUGCCUGAGGAGCAGAGUGCUCUGCUCUUCUUGUCCUGAAGCUUUAGGUAACUUGGGCUCAGCUAUGGAACACACUGAAGGUAAGAACCAAGGCCUGGAGGUUUAACUUAAGGGGAAUCAGAAUAGAGCGCAAAAGGUAAGUGUGCUAGGUUCAUGGUAGUCUAUGCUGCUGAGAAUACAGAUUGCAGCAUUCUCUACAUGUAGAAGCUCCUAUCAGGGACCUAUGGGGAAGAGCUGGUCCCUAUCCCAAUGAGUGCACAAUCCCAGUAUACCAUGAGAACAUUGCUAUGGCUGAGGGGACUCUGGAUUGUGGUGGUGCCCCAUCCCAGGCAGUGCUGACCCCUGGAUCCCAUCCUGCAAUCCCAUCCAGCUAUCUGUGGUGGCCCCAGGGCAGAACAGGCUGGCCCGGCUCCACAGCACUGACCAGGAGAUGCAGUGGCUAUCAGAAAUGGGAAGGAGUCCCAUCCAGACAGAGCCUCCCGCACAGAGCCAGGGCCUUACUGCCCUGCCUUCCCCCCUGCCAUUCCAAGUCUCUGGACAGCUAGGUUCCCCCAGCACGCAAACCCCCUUAUCCUCUGUGCCUCGUUCUUCCUGGAGCCGUGUGAGAUGGGCAAAGGCGCCCUAGGGAGCCAUGUGAGGGGUUGUGCAAAGGUCCCCCUGAGGAGCUGUGUGAGGCGAUGUGCAAGAAUCCCCUCAGGGAGCCGUGCAAGGUGGUGUGCGUGGAGCUGUGUGAGGACACUUCUCCCUGGGAGUUGUGCAGGGAUCCCCCUACGGAGCUAUGUGAAGGGCUGUGCAAGGAGAUGUGCAAAGAUCCUCCCCCCUGGAAGCCAUGCGAGGGCCCCCUUGGAAGCCCAGUGCAGGGGAAGGCCCGGCUGCUGUCCAUCGUGCUGGAACCCACGGAGAGGUGGAUAGCGGGAAGCUGUGCUGAUCCCCAGAUGACUUCCUGCUGCUGGAGGGCGAGGACGAGCUCUUCACUGAUGAAGAGGAGGCCCCCCUGCUCUGGAGGGACCCUGGAUGAAGUGCUGCUGUAAGGCUGCUGGGGACAGAGGGGACCCCACUCUCUCCCUGUCUGGCCUCAGACCCCACAAGAGACCCAGCUGUAGCCUUGUGGGGGGGCCAUAGCUCAGGGACUGAGGACACCCUCCCCAGGAGCUGGACAGCAGCAGGAGGAGAUGGCCCCCUGCCACCAGAAACUUAGGGGGCAGAAUAAGACCAGCCUGGGGCAUUCUCCGUGCUGGAUCCAGUGCUCCCCAUCUGUGAGCAAGAGUCAGCGUGACUUUGAUCUGGGACAGCAGCACCAUGGGGCAUGCUCUGCCCCCACCACCUCCAGGAGCUGGGGGGCCAGCUGCCUGCAGGGUUUGUGCCAGUCGGUACAGCUGCCCUCUCCUCCCCUGCUGAGCUCAGCAAUAAAAGGUUCCUGUCCUAGCUGUGGUGUCUCACUGUGAAGUGGCUGGUUAGGCCCUGGGAACAGGUGUAGUGCAUCAGUGGGACCGGCUCCCAGGGGCUGCGAGCUCGACACUCUCUGAGCCCCAAGGGGUGGCUGAGCUGGGGGGAGGGAGGCAGCAAUUUCUGAGCACCUUCAUCUGAGGUGUGGGGCUCCGGGCUGAUGCAGUAGGAGGGGGCUGCUGUUCAAGGGGGGAGUUGCCCACAAUGGGGGUG